UGAGUAACCUGCCCUUAACUCUGGGAUAAGCCUGGGAAACUGGGUCUAAUACCGGAUAUGACUCCUCAUCGCAUGGUGGGGGGUGGAAAGCUUUUUUGUGGUUUUGGAUGGACUCGCGGCCUAUCAGCUUGUUGGUGAGGUAAUGGCUCACCAAGGCGACGACGGGUAGCCGGCCUGAGAGGGUGACCGGCCACACUGGGACUGAGACACGGCCCAGACCUCCGUACGGGAGGCAG
rnacentral:rRNA from 1 species